GGACUACAGGGGUUUCUAAUCCCGUUCGCUACCCUGGCCUUCGUGUUUCAGCGUCAGUUUCUGCCCAGGGUCUUGCCUUCGCAAUUGGUGUUCCUCUCGAUAUCCACGCAUUUCACUGCUACACCGAGAAUUCCAGACCCCUCUACAGACCUCCAGCAUGACAGUAUCGGAUGCCAUUCGGGGGUUGAGCCCCCGGAUUUCACAUCUGACUUUUCACGCCGCCUACACACCCUUUACGCCCAGUGAUUCCGAACAACGCUUGAGACCUCUGUAUUACCGCGGCUGCUGGCAC
rnacentral:rRNA from 1 species